CCUGCUCAAUGAACCUAAAUAGCCGCUCUUAGUGCUAAGGUAGCAUAAUAAAUUGCUCUUUAAUUAAGAGAUAGCAUGAAAGGAAACACGAUUUAUAAAUUGUACCUAAUCAUCCCAUUAAAUUUCCACACCAGUCAAAACCCACCUAAUUACAAGCAGGACGACAAGACCCUAUCGAACUUUUACAAAAUUUCACUGGGACGGUAAAAAACUAAAUCUUCUUCAUCUCUCUCAAUUCAAGCCCUCAACCGAACUAAUCUAAGUUACCGCAGGGAUAACAGCAUAAUAGUUUAAAAAAGCCCCUAUACAAUAAACUGCUUAUGACCUCGAUGUUGAAUUAACAAACCUAUUUACAGAAAAAAGUAAAAAAGAAAGUCUGUUCGACUUAUGAAAUGUUACAU
rnacentral:rRNA from 1 species